rnacentral:rRNA from 1 species
UACGUAGGGUGCAAGCGUUGUCCGGAAUUAUUGGGCGUAAAGAGCUUGUAGGCGGUUUGUCGCGUCUGCUGUGAAAUUUCGGGGCUCAACCCCGAACUUGCAGUGGGUACGGGCAGACUAGAGUGUGGUAGGGGAGACUGGAAUUCCUGGUGUAGCGGUGAAAUGCGCAGAUAUCAGGAGGAACACCGGUGGCGAAGGCAGGUCUCUGGGCCGUAACUGACGCUGAGGAGCGAAAGCGUGGGGAGCGAACAGG